rnacentral:lncRNA from 1 species
CAUAAACCACCAAUGUAAAUUGCCCAUGUCUAAACCGUUGUCAAAUGUUAAUCAAGUAUUGUGUAAACAAAAUGUCAUGUAUGGCAAGUGAAAUAUGUAACAACCAAACCAUAGGUAAGAAUGCACAAACAAUGUACUAAGUAUGCGAUGGAUGGACAUACAUAGCAUGAUACCAAGUAUAAGAUGUCUUGUAAAACGAUGUACUAAUAUGCACACAAUGGGCAUACAUAGCAUGUGA